GACGAACGCUGGCGGCGUGCUUAACACAUGCAAGUCGAGCGGUAAGGCCUUUCGGGGUACACGAGCGGCGAACGGGUGAGUAACGCGUGGGUGAUCUGCCCUGCACUUCGGGAUAAGCCUGGGAAACUGGGUCUAAUACCGGAUAUGACCUCCUAUCGCAUGGUGGGUGGUGGAAAGAUUUAUCGGUGCAGGAUGGGCCCGCGGCCUAUCAGCUUGUUGGUGGGGUAAUGGCCUACCAAGGCGACGACGGGUAGCCGACCUGAGAGGGUGACCGGCCACACUGGGACUGAGACACGGCCCAGACUCCUGCGGGAGGCAGCAGUGGGGAAUAUUGCACAAUGGGCGAAAGCCUGAUGCAGCGACGCCGCGUGAGGGAUGACGGCCUUCGGGUUGUAAACCUCUUUCAGCAGGGACGAAGCGCAAGUGACGGUACCUGCAGAAGAAGCACCGGCUAACUACGUG
rnacentral:rRNA from 1 species